rnacentral:rRNA from 1 species
UGGCUGCAGUGGGGAAUAUUGCACAAUGGGCGCAAGCCUGAUGCAGCCAUGCCGCGUGUGUGAAGAAGGCCUUCGGGUUGUAAAGCACUUUCAGUCAGGAGGAAAGGUUAGUAGUUAAUACCUGCUAGCUGUGACGUUACUGACAGAAGAAGCACCGGCUAACUCCGUGCCAGCAGCCGCGGUAAUACGGAGGGUGCGAGCGUUAAUCGGAAUUACUGGGCGUAAAGCGUACGCAGGCGGUUUGUUAAGCGAGAUGUGAAAGCCCUGGGCUCAACCUGGGAACUGCAUUUCGAACUGGCAAACUAGAGUGUGAUAGAGGGUGGUAGAAUUUCAGGUGUAGCGGUGAAAUGCGUAGAGAUCUGAAGGAAUACCGAUGGCGAAGGCAGCCACCUGGGUCAACACUGACGCUCAUGUACGAAAGCGUGGGGAGCAAACGGGAUUAGAUACCCCUGUAGUC